UACGUAGGGGGCUAGCGUUAUCCGGAAUUACUGGGCGUAAAGGGUGCGUAGGUGGUUUCUUAAGUCAGAGGUGAAAGGCUACGGCUCAAUCGUAGUAAGCCUUUGAAACUGGGAAACUUGAGUGCAGGAGAGGAGAGUGGAAUUCCUAGUGUAGCGGUGAAAUGCGUAGAUAUUAGGAGGAACACCAGUUGCGAAGGCGGCUCUCUGGACUGUAACUGACGCUGAGACACGAAAGCGUGGGGAGCAAACAGGAUUAGAUACCCCGGUAGUCCCUGAG
rnacentral:rRNA from 1 species